rnacentral:rRNA from 1 species
ACGGGGUUGUAGCUGGCCUUCACGGGCAUGUGCACACCUCACUCAUCCACUCUACACCUGUGCACUUACUGUGGGUUUCGAGAGGCCGCGCUUGCGUGGUUGAUCGGGCUCACGUCUAUUACAAACUCUUCAGUAUCAGAAUGUGUAUCGCGAUGUAACGCAUCUAUAUACAACUUUCAGCAACGGAUCUCUUGGCUCUCGCAUCGAUGAAGAACGCAGCGAAAUGCGAUAAGUAAUGUGAAUUGCAGAAUUCAGUGAAUCAUCGAAUCUUUGAACGCACCUUGCGCUCCUUGGUAUUCCGAGGAGCAUGCCUGUUUGAGUGUCGUGUAAUUCUCAACCUAUAAAUCCUUGUGGUUUUUAGGCUUGGACUUGGAGGCUUUUGCUGGCUUUACCGUCGGCUCCUCUUAAACGCAUUAGCUUGAUUCCUUGCGGAUCGGCUCUCAGUGUGAUAAUUAUCUGCGCUGUGACCGUGAAGCGUUUGGCGAGCUUCUAACCGUCUCUUCGAGACAAACACUUUGACAUCUGACCUCAAAUCAGGUAGGACUACCCGCUGAACUUAAGCAUAUCAAUAAGCGGAGGAAAAGAAACUAACAAGGAUUCCCCUAGUAACUGCGAGUGAAGCGGGAAGAGCUCAAAUUUAAAAUCUGGCGGUCUUUGGCCGUCCGAGUUGUAGUCUGGAGAAGUGCUUUCCGCGCUGGACCGUGUACAAGUCUCUUGGAACAGAGCGUCAUAGAGGGUGAGAAUCCCGUCUUUGACACGGACUACCAGUGCUUUGUGAUGCGCUCUCAAAGAGU